UUUCUGGAACAGUCUGUUCGGAACGGUGCGAGGUCGAUCCACGGUGUCUGCAUAGAGAUCUGUUUCCCGAUUGUACAGAUGCAGAAAGUCGGAGAGCUGUUUGGCGGUAAUGGCAGCACGGUCCUUGUCGCCGAGCUUACUGCUUGGCAACUGCGACAGAAAAUAUAUUAGAGCCUGGUACUACCUUGGAAAGCAUGGGGAAGGUAUUGUCUCAAAAGCUCACCGUGAAGAAGAAGGGCGUCCUUAGAUUACUGGCACACUGCUGAAGAAAUUUCAUUACAAGGUCGCAGCACGCUGGAUCCGCGUUGGGUUGAGAUAUCUUGCGCAGCACAUGACCUAAAUAUAAACCGAAGGCUUUUCUUGCUUCCCCAGGACUGAACAAGUACAAUUUUAUUGUAAUAUAAAUAUACGUUUAACAGGUUUUAUUGCGUUUAA